rnacentral:rRNA from 1 species
CUAUGGCCACACCCCUGGAAUGCACCGGAUCUCGUCUGAUCUGGGAAGCUAAGCAGGGUCGGGCCUGGUUAGUACUUGGAUGGAAGAAUAAUAUUUACGGGGAUGCCCGGGUAGCUCAGUGGU